CCUGCUGUUAUUAUGAGAGGUAACAAUGUGAUCUGCCUCAGGCACCUCUCUCUCCAUCCAUGCCAGGCAGGUCAUUUUCCUUUUAUCAGAAAGGAGGGUAGGUCAUCGCAUUUCAGUGCAUGUUGACACCACUGCUAAUAAAAGCAAGAAAAGAAGUCGUUGCCCUUAAGAUGCCUUAACCUCUCCCUUGCCUCAAACAGAUAUUUCACAGUUCCUCCACGGGAUUUGGGACUGGAAAGUGAUUUGACCCCACACUGCCUUAACCACACAGAUCUGAACCAGGUAACAGGAGAGCUGUGAAGUGCAGGAGAGUCUCUUCACUCAGGGUACCCCCUCUCCUUGGCAAGAAAUAGCAAAAAAAAAAAAAAAGAAAGCAACAGUGAGGGAGUUCCCUGAUGGUCUAGUGGUUAAGGAUUCCACGUUGCCACUGCUGUGGCUUGAGUUACUGCUGUGACUGGGUUCAAUCCCUAGCCUGGGAAGUUCCACAUGCCACGGGGUGGGGGCAGGGGGCAGGUGAAGAAAAGAAAGAAAGAAAGCAACAGUGAGUCAGGACAAUGACUUCUCAAAUAGCAAGAAGUGAACUUAGAGAUCUACUCAUCUAGCUUUCAAACUUUUUACUUUUGUUUUUUCUGUUUUCUUUUUAGGGCAGCACCUGCAGCAUAUGUAAGUUCCCGGGCUAGGGAUCGAACUGGAAUUGUAGCUGCCAGCCACAGCCACAGUCACAGCAAAGCAGGAUCCGAGCCACGUCUGCGACCUAGACUAUAGUUCACGCGAUGCUGGAUCCUUAACCCACCGAUGAGCGAGGCCAGGAAUGGAACCUGCAUCCUCAUGGACACUGUGUCAGGUUCUUAACCCUCUGAGCCACAAAAGGAACACCAAACAUUUUAUGUUUUAAACCAUUACUUUGAAAGAAAUCUUAUCCCAAAGUAUAAACAUAAAAAAUACAUAAAAAGAAGCCAAUCUAUUUGCAGACCUCCACUCCUACAGCUGGGUUCUGGGAGAGCCCAGGACACAGUCUGCCAAUCAGUGCACCAGAGCCUACGACCAUUUGAAAGGGGCAAAACUUGAGAUUUUUGUUGUUUGUUCUUUCAUUCUAUCUUCUUCCUCUCUUAAUGGCCAUAGAGAACUCUCUUCUAGAUGACCUCUGAAAUUUAAAACCCCCAAUGAGAUUUCCCAAUUCACGUGCAGGUAACCUAAGAAACACACUACAAAUAAGAUAUUUUUUACACCUUAUCUUGACAAAGUUUACGCACCUUUUCCAGAAGGUAAGCUGGCAAGAGGCAUCAAAGGGCCUUAAAAACAGUCUGAUCUUUUGACCUAGUUGUUCUAUUUCUAGGAAUUUAUUCACUAAAAAAUAAAUAAAUAAAUCACACAUAAGGGCAUCUGAACAAAUCAGUCAAUGCAGCAUUAUUUAUGCUAAUAAAAAUAAAUGAAAUAAGUUGAAUGGUCAAAAAUAAGAAACUGUUUAAUUUUUAUAGUCAUAUGAUAGCUCCAACAUGCUCUGGCAUUAAAAUGCCUCUACCAUAACAAAAAAUGCAAAAAUUGGUGCCAACUCUUUACAGUAUCAUCUGGAAAAUGUAAAGAUAAAUGGAUGGAUAGACAGACUAUAAAAUUUACUUACUGAUUGAACUGGAUACUAAAUUUAUUACUAUCUUCCUUGGCAAAAGACACACAGGCAUGUUGGAUUAUUUAAAAAGGCAACAUAAAAUUUUAUCUGGAGCUACCUUGCUCACUGACACUAUAUCCUAGUAUAACUGUAAUUAUUGGGAUGCUGAUAAAAAUAUUCUAUUUCCUCAUGUGUUCAUGCUCUACCCUCCUCUUCCUUUAAUAUGAUGUGCAUGAUUGAGGCAGGUGUAAGGAAAGACACGCCAUUAACAAUAAUGAAAUAUUUUGACCUACAACAUCUUCAAAAGGCAUAAAGGGGAGCCUCUGAUUAUAUUUAAACCCCACAAUAAAUCUGUCCCAAAACAUGUGCAUAGAUUAUGCCACAACAGGUGACAGUUUACUUAAGUGUCUGUUUUGUUCCAGACACUACGCCAGAUACUGAAAAUACAACAGACCAACAAAAACACAACCCUUGUGGAGUUCCCAUUGUGGUGCAAUGGAAACCAAUCCAACCAGUAUUCGUGAGGAUGCAGGUUCAAUCCUUGGCCUCGCUCGGUGGGUCGGGGAUCCUGCAUUGCCUCGAGCUGUGGUGUAGGUCCGUUUAGUUCAUGGCUGGGUUCCAGAUCUGACAACAUGGCUCAAUGCACAGUAAGAGCUUAAAAAAUAUUUGUGGAGCGAGAGAAGGAAGGAGAAGACAGGCAGGCAGACCACUCAAAACUGUGGUUUGAGGGCUUGACUAAAACGUGGUAUUAUGAACUAAAAUCUGUAACAGUGGUGGGGAGGGGGUGUCGAAGAGCUGAAACGCAAAGACUGACUGUCUUGAGUUCUAGAGUAUGUUAUCUGCCCAGACAGUGCCUUGAUAAAUCUUUUCUGCUCAGAAAAGGAUAAAGAGGAAACCAGGAAGUGCCUGUGGAGGGCCCAGGGUACUGCACAAAAGCAAGUAUUUCUCAAACAGAAUCUCUCCUUUCGUCCUCACCACAGGACGGAAGUACCCCUACUUCUGCACAUGAAGAAACUGAGACUAAAGGGUGAACUGACUCACUCAAGGUGACACGGCUGGAUGUGGCAGAAGCCAAACUGAAAUUCCCACCCCAUCCACCACACAACACCAGAAGGAAACCAAGUUUAGUCACCAGAAUUUUUCAUAUACUUUAAGAAUAUGGUUGGGCUUUCCCUCAUCCCUUUCUACUUUGGGAUGCUUCUGCAUUCAGAGUCUCAGAUUUACACGGAGAGAUGGCUUUGACGGCCGUAUUUCUGUGUAUCUAAGAAUCUCCUUGCCUAAGCUUGACCUCUGAAGUCUCUAAAACUUGAUCACAGCCAAUUAAACUCCUUGUGUUUGAACUUCUUUACCAUGAAAAAAAAAAAGUCUUAUCCUCCCUUCGUUAUUUUAAAUUUCCCCAAUCCCUGCUUUACAAAUCGUACAAACUGACCUCUCCAUUCCUUUGCAAAAUCACAUAAAAACCAAAGUAAAUGUUUCAUCUUGUCAGCUCAUCCCAGGUACCACUGGGAUCCAGUCCCUUAAACCACCCAGUCCCUUAAACCAAUGGCUGAAAGCUGAGAGGAUAUGCAAGACAAGCCUGAGAGUUUUAACUGGCAGACCUGCUCAGAUCCUCAUUGUGCUGUUUGAAACUCGGACCACAUGAGACAACAGUUCACUUUUUUCACCGUGGCAACAGAUUCAACCUCUUGGCCCUGUGAAAGUCAUCGGAAUAUAUUCAACCAAAAGAAAAAUGAAAAGAGAGAAAGAGAGAGAAAGGAGGAGGGUGAAACUUCCUAUCUUCUGACUGAAGAUAUAUUCAGCACUCUGAUUUUUUUUUAUGCACAUUUGAUCAUGCUGUUGACAGCCCUGGAAGUUAAGGAAUAUGGACUGUUGCACAGAGGUUUCAAACCUGGAUGGAAACCAAUGGCAGGCUCCUUUUGACAGUCGAAUAAUGACAAGCACGUUGCAGGCCAAUGCCCGUCAUUCACCAACAUCUCCGACCUGCUCCAGCCGCUGCACAGCGACUAAGUGGAGGGUCAGAGGUUAAGCUCCAAGAAACCAGCAAUGAAGGGCAACUGUCAUGCACCGCUGCCCAUUGUGAAGCAGCAAGGAGUGGCUGUCUCCUCCAGAACAUGCAAAACGUUCUCAUUCUGUCCAGGCAGAGACACAUCUGAAGGUCCUAAAUGAGACCAUUGCCAAUUCAUGAAGCUCCAAACUGACAGCAUGCCAUUCAAGCUGUCUCCGAUUUGACUUUUUUUUUCCCUAUUUCAAAUCACAAAUGCAUGCAAAGUAUACAGUUAAGCAUAACUCUUCAGCCAUGGUUUUAAGCAUGCUAGGCUUUUAGACACCUACAUAGUCUCAGACACAUACACACUCUCAGAGCCUAAAAAAAAAGGAAAGAAAAUGCAAAAUUCAUUUGGUCUUCUUUAGCGAGUUUCUAAUAAAGGACAUCAUUCAAAAUGGCACAGAGGAACCCAGGUGUCAGUUUUCCAGGAAAGUUCCUAAGUGUGUGCAAAACAAAAUAAUCUUAAAGAGGAAUUAUGUCAUAUUAAUAUCAUAUUAACUAUAAGAACACAAGAAUGUAACUGUGUAUAGAGAGAAUUUUAUUUAGUGAAAGCCAUUUGGUUUUAAGGACACGGUAACUUAUCUAUACAUUUUAUAAUUUUUUAAGAUUUAUCCCAAGAAUAUAGUUCACAAAUGAUUCAGAGUUUAGCACACGACACAAACACAUCCUUCUACAAUUCUACGUUUGAGAUCUUACUGCUUUUUUAUACAGUGAAAUUGAGUGAUCUCCCUUAGAUGUGUGUAUGAACAUUUAUUAACGAAGAGUCUUCUUCAUCUUUAUUGAGUAAAAAGAAAUGUCUCAUCUUAUCCAGAAGCCAAAAGACUGUCACUGCAAGUGACUGGCCAGGAUGGAGAAUUAAGGUAAACAAGACUUCUUAUACCCUUUUCAGCAACAAUAGGAUUUCUAUCCACAAAUAGAGCCAUAAGUGGCCCUCAUCAGGGACAGCUUUAAAGGUAUGAACUCGAAAAUGAACCUUAUAUAAAGCUGUUGGUCUACACCAACUGCGGCACUAAAGUCUCUCUUUAAGCCCUGAUCACUAUCACCCAACCUUCCUUAAGGAAGCCUGGGGAGAGGAGAUAACCUAUCAACUCUAAGGAACAAAGCUUACAAAGACACCCCAUUAUUAAAGCUUGUACAGACAGAGGUCAACUAAUUGCCCUUUGCUCUAGCAACAAGAACAUACAGAGCUAGUCUCCAAUACAGAGCUGCAGAUAACCAAACAUGUUAUUUUAAGUAAUGUAUGAGCAUGCGUCAACCUCCCACUCCCAGGCAAAACCAGCAAUUAUAAUAAACUUAGAUUAUUAUAGGUAGCUGGGGUCAAGAAAAAUAUUUCAAGCCACAAAUACCUAUUGUUUUUGAAAUAAAGUAACCGAGUGAAUAUUCUGCAAUAUAAGAGACCAGAUGAAAAUUUUAAUAUAAAAUGACUUCUCUCUCCUGAGGGAUAACUGAAAAUCCCUUACUUCAUAUUCAGGCAUGUACGGUACACAAAAAAUCACAAAGACGCAAUUCGGAAACAGGAACGCCUUCCCCAAAUCCUUUUCUUUUGGACCUGGGUUGCAAACCUCAAAGUUUAAUGUGAACCAACACAAGACAAAUAAAGGAAAUACGCCUUGACAUAACUACAGAGUAAACCAACGGCACGCAUAUUCUUAACAGAUAACACAGAACAAGAACUUAAAUGGCUUCAAAAACAGAUGAGCUGAUUUAUCCGUCAUAGAUUCACAACAAGUAACAGAGGUAAACCAAGAAUUCAGGAGAGGCAGAUCCUUGAGGAGAUCCCCCAAAAACCUCACAUGGAAAAGUCCAAAGCUCGAGCUACUUAAAUAUCAGCAAACUCAAUACCGUAAGAAAAAGAGGGUCACUGCCAAGCCCAGAUUCAGACGGCUGGGCUAAAUUCCCUCCUCAGGCCUUCCUGCUCUGUGACAUUGCAAAACGGGGGCCCUACUUUUGUGCAGAUGACACACAGGAUACCCACCUAUGGUCCUAAACCGAUCAUUCAUUCCCUUCUUCAAAUAUCUUGGAGGGGGCAGUAACGGCCGUUGGUAGGGGUAAGGCUGGUAGACAAAGGCUGGCAGACACAUUUCAGGUGUGACAAAGCUGGGCGUGACAGUUCUUCAGGAAUGUUCAAGAAGAAGGGCUCACGCGCAUAUCAAUCACUCUACCCCGGACAUAGUAGAUACGCAAUAGACACCUAAAGAAUAAAUGAAUGGACUCCUUGUCAAACUUUCUACCGGGUUGAUGGACAAAGGAAUGCACUCAAAAGGCAGGUUCUCGAAGAGACUUACAUUCGAUUCAUGACCUCAAAAGAGCAGGCUGGCAACUGCUGUGUUCCACUUUCCCCAUUCCCUCCCUAUUAUUCCCCCCUCACCUUUCCACAUAUCCCAAAUUUCAACAGCUAAAAGGGUCUUUCAUACACAUCUAUAGAAGAUUCAAAACAAAAUGUUGCCGGAUUCAGCAAUAAUCAGCAGUCAAAUUAGAGAUUCCUGCUAUUUCAAAGCUCCACAGAUCAGUGAGGGUGAGUAGAACUCCCACAAGCAGGAUGAAGGCUGAAGGAUGCGGCCUCAGCAACAGUGUCCUGGUAUUUGUUCCAGGUGAGGCGAGCAGUAAGAGUCCCAUGAGACCUAUAGACCAAGGGGACGCUCCCUCUUCUGACUCUGUGCCUUUUUGUUAGGUCCUCAGUGACAUAGUGACACAGCAAGGAAUGUCAUCUUUCUUCUGUAAAUGAAAGCAAAAGCCUAGAUGCAUAAAGCUCAUAUUAUUUCACAUAAUUUUAGAAAUACUGCUAUAAGCUGGGGGAGGGGGGAUAUUAAACUAAAUGGAGGCACUGCUCUUUUCUGCGUCUGAUUCUGUGUGGAGAGAUGCUUCACUGAAGAGCCUAAAUGCUUUGAGAUCAUUAGUUUAGACGAUGAGCUAACCCAAGCCAGCACCCUGCUUUUCUCCUUCUGGCUGAACAAAAGCCAGACACACUCAUUCUACCCGGUUCGGUGUACACUGAACUGCUCUGUGCAAGGAGUACCAGUUGCCUCUAGGUCAUGAAAUAAUACUAAAAACUUUAUAAUCAUUCAUUGAUUUAGUUUUCAGCAUACUAUAUCAUUUGAAUCCAAUGGGAGCAUAAAGAGCUAUUUGUGAGGUCAACCACGGUACAGACAGAUGCUGACAUGCUAUUGAUGGCAAGGUGGAAAGAAAUUGCUAAAUACAGCAGAUCAAUACCUCGUUUCACUGUUACAGCCUUCUGCAGACAUAAAAUAUAUAUCUUUACAGCUACAAAAAUAAUAAUAAUGAAAGUGGGAGAUAAAUGCUUCCCUCAAGGUAAACUAUUUGAUUAGCUAAGGGCAAAGGUGACAGCAGCAGUUACACUAAAGUAACUUUAUAGUCUUAAAUAAAAACAAGAGGAAGAGCAGUAGAUGAAAUGGCAAAGUGAAUCGGGACACAUAGCUGGUUCAGUUAUAACUCUUUUAAAAAACACAGUGAUCAGUAAAAGGGCCACCAAAAAUCUAAGCUUUUUCCUACCAUCCACAAAUCCAAUUUCCUGAGGUCUAUCCUAUCACACGGUUUUACACAAAACAUUUCUAAACAAAAUCUUCUCAGUUACUGAUGGAGAACAAAUCGAGAGCUGAUGAUAAAUAAAUGCUCUGUCAAGUUACAAACAAAAACAAAAACCUUCACCUUCUAGUCUAUAUCUGUUCCAUUUGACCCAAAAUGUUGAAAGCCAACCCUCUCUUUAGUACCUUGUUAGACACAUCCAACAAAUGUAUGGUUCUGGGCCAGAGGGAACUCAUAAUCUCCCCAGGAAAAAGAGAAUUACAUACAAUACUGAUAUAAACAAUAAUAAAAUGUCAAAUGUAAUACAACCAAAUGCCAAGCUGUCAGGUACCACAGGCCAGAAAACGUACCAAAACGUUACCAUACGUUUGGACGAAGGAAAUGAGGUCAUUGAGGCAAGAGAUGAAAGUAAUGACCCUCCAAAGCUCCACGCAAGGGUGGGAACGUGACACGGUUCCUCAGGGGCUGGCCGACUUAAUACAUCAUCAUCACCUUAGCUUUUGGUUCUCCGAGAUGAAACUCUUUUUUUUUUUUCUUUUUCUUUUUU
rnacentral:lncRNA from 1 species